rnacentral:misc_RNA from 1 species
GGACACGUUGAUGAGAGAGAUGCUGUCAGUUCAAACAUUCUUUACUGAAUUUUGGUAAAGAGAUUUAUCGCAUAUGCAGCAUGGGGUACCACAGUAUUUGGCUCAAAACAAGCAUCCCUACGUUGAUAUUUGCUUGCGAUUGAGAAUCUGAUACACCUGCCUUGACACUUUUCUCUGUCUUUGGUGACGGGGGAGUCACUGUGGUGUUUGGCGUUGGAACCAGUGUGGGAGUCACCGGAGCUUUUGGUGCUGGAUUUGGUGAGAGAGACACAGGAGCUUUUGGGGAUGCAUUUGGCGAGGGAGACACCGGAGUUUUUGGUGUUGGAACCUGGUUGUUGGCUUUAGAAAGUCCAAUAUCAUAACUCAUGGUUAAAUCAGGCUUAAAAAGUCCGAAGGAUCGCUCAGAAGUUGGUCCUGGUUUGAGAUCCUCAUCAUAUAUGGCAAAGAGAUAGGUAUCUACUGAUUUGCCAGGCAUCAAAGGAGUACCAACCAUUGACCUCAAGUGAGCAAUCAAAUUGCCAUUGUAAGCCUUUGCAUUCUCAAUACUUGGACCAACUUCAUUGCUGUCUCCCUUAUAAGGCCACCCUGUUUCCGCAAUCACAAUCU